UGUCUGAAGACAAUAAAAGAUGGAUUUCUGGACCAGAUCAGCUGUAAAAACUUCACAGAAGGAUGUCCAACCGAACCUUACAGAAGUACAGAGCUGUAUAAAUAUCCAGCUUGCAGUCGUCUUAACACAGAGUUCCGAUGUUUUGCUGCUGAUUCUUUGUGUGUUUCGUAUUCUAAUGCCUCUAGGACUGCUAUAGAUGAUGGAUCCGUUGACAUAAGAGAAAUCCUCGGUGUCGUCAUACCUCUCCUGGUACUGGUGGGGAUUCUGAUAGCAGCCUUUCUAUUUUGGAGACGUCGGCAAAAACUAAAACUAAAAACUACACUAAAGCGUCGCAAAAAGAUUUUAGGUAAAUCUGUAUUCGAAAUAUACUAAC